rnacentral:rRNA from 1 species
GACGAACGCUGGCGGCGUGCCUAAUACAUGCAAGUCGAGCGGAACUGGGGGAGCUUGCUCCUUCCAGUUUAGCGGCGGACGGGUGAGUAACACGUGGGCAACCUGCCCUGCAGAUCGGGAUAACUCCGGGAAACCGGUGCUAAUACCGAAUAGUUUGGCGCCUCUCCUGAGGCGCCACGGAAAGACGGUUUCGGCUGUCACUGCAGGAUGGGCCCGCGGCGCAUUAGCUAGUUGGUGGGGUAACGGCCCACCAAGGCGACGAUGCGUAGCCGACCUGAGAGGGUGACCGGCCACACUGGGACUGAGACACGGCCCAGACUCCUACGGGAGGCAGCAGUAGGGAAUCUUCCGCAAUGGGCGCAAGUCUGACGGAGCAACGCCGCGUGAGUGACGAAGGUUUUCGGAUCGUAAAACUCUGUUGUGAGGGAAGAACACGUACCAACUAACUAUUGGUACCUUGACGGUACCUCACCAGAAAACCACGGCUAACUACGUGCCAGCCGCCGCCGUAA